GAGUUGCCGCCGAGCUCUCCUCCCAGUCGAAUCAGCCUGCUGCAAGAAUGUGCUUGCGUGAUACUUAAUCCCUUACUGGGAGCCCAGAUAGGGUUUCUUGCCAGAACUAGAAAUUGCCUUUUACAAAUUCCCCUUCCUAAGCAAGCUAUGAUAGCCCCCAUGUGGGGCCAGUAACACCCUAUCAGUGUAUUUUUAAACAAGAGCAAAGGGCUCCACCUUGUAUCAUAAAUUACGGUAACAUCACUUCUAACCACAGAGGCGCAGUUCACAAGAGCAGAAACAAUCUAUUUCAGGAUCUCAGGGAAACGGGACUAGAAGUGCCGCAAUCUCAUCAGAAAAUGCAGCUUCCGGUGGUAUUUUUCACCAGGAACAGAAGCAGAAGUGUGCAGAAUCACCCGAGAAAGCCCCAGCUCUCCUGAGAGCCGUUCUCGAAUUUUGCUGGCACAGAGCACUGGGAGGUGAAUUGCAAUGUCAGCGCCUGGAAAUUGGGACUCAGACUCCUUAAACUCUCUUCUCACAAGGGUGUCUCUGCCUCCAUCGUUUCUGCACGUGCUAAAGGCAGAAGAAGAGGCAGAGGCUGCUGCGUCUCCUGGCAGGCGGGCCAGUUGGAACAAAGACACCAGCGGGGCCACCUCGGAAAGCAAUCUGGAGAAGUCCCAGCAAACAGCAUUUAGGGGAAGGGGAAAAACGCCUGUGGACCUGAUAAUGCAUCACGUCCCAUUGUUAAGGAGGCAAAAAGCAGAAAUUUACCUUGAAGGCUCAUGGGAGUUUGAUUUCCCUGGAAAGACAUGACCCACAUUUCUCACGGAUUGUGGGUCAAUAUUUGACCAUCUCCUCUUAUUUUCUCAUCUUCGUGUUUAAGAUUUAAAAUACAAGUACUAUGUAAUCUCUUUAAAAGAUUCAAACAGUAUAAAAUUAAGGUAGAGUCAAAGUUCCUCAUUCCUUUUGCUCACCCCCACUGGCUCAUUCACUAGAGAUAGCUAACAAUUACUUUUAACACUGUCAAACAUAUCCUUCCAGACGUGUUCGGUAAGUAUGCAAAUAUAUACAUUUGUGUCCAUAUAUUGUCAAAUAUAUGUAUGUGUCUAUAUAUACACACACAGACGUUCUCUGUUUUAAAUAUUCUACAGGAAUCAUAUUUAUAGACAAUAUUAUACAACUUGGUUUUUUUUUCCACUUAAAAUAUCUAUCAUGGGUAAUUAUCUGCGUCUAUGUGCAUUUUUAAAAACUUAGCUAUAAAGUUUGAGAAAAGUGUAAUUAUGCUCCCCAGGGAGGGGGGCAUUCAGACCAAAGGGCUUGUGGGGAAGGGCGAGGCUCCCCCCACCCCCACAGACAAUCACUGUUAGCAGUUUUUAGUGUAUCAUUCCAGAAAUAGUCUACGCGCAGACCAGCAUAUAUGGAUAUCAAAUAUUCACACCUGUCUUUGUCUUUACCAAGUAUCUUUCACCUGGCGUGUUUCACUCAGGUCUCUUGGAGAGCACUUCACAUUAGAAAAAAUUGACCUUUUAAAUGAUGGUGUCGUACUUCUUUGAAUGGCGCUCCUUAAUGUAUUUCACUCGUCCUUUUAGAUGGACUUUGGGUGGAUUUCAGUUUUUGCUUCUACAAACAGUGCUGCAAUAAAUAGUCGAGUGCACACCCUGUGAGUCUUUGCUCAAACACACUCACCCCUUCCUGAAAGCAACACCUAUACCCCACACCUCUCCUCAAAUUGCGUUAAUCCGAAGAACUGAUUGAAUCAACUUUUUUUUUUUUUAAAAAGAGGGUUUAAAACUGAGUAUUAAUAAUCCAUUAAGAAUCUGUUAUGAAUACGUGCCCCUUCCUGCAGUUUUGAAUCUUUCCUCCAGCUUGAAAGUGAGGCUCAUGAAAAAAAAAGAAAGUCAUUUUUCCCCCCCACGCCCACCCCCGCCCAGGAGUCAGCCAUGCCAAAAUCAUUGCAUUAGCAUCCUGUGCCUGCUUAUUACAAAUGCAGGCUGCACGUUGGGUAAUUCCUUCCCAUCUACUUCUUUCAUCCUGGGCUCAGAGAAAGAUCGCAACUCACUCUUACAACUUAGGUACUGCUCCCUGCUCUUUUCUGUAUGCAAGAGUUGAAGCCAUUGGGGAUUGAGAACAAAGUGUGUCCGUGGAAAGAAGUGGGUGGGAUUUGGUGUAUGCAGGAGGAUGGGGGGGCACCCCCUCCCGGGGGAGGAGUCUGAUUUCAUUAUACAGUUGGAAACCUGAUGAAAUCAUGUACACAACUGAAUCUUUUUGCUCAGCUAGUGAGGUCUUUCUGUUCUUUGUCUUGCUGUGUGUGCAGCAAAUUUCUGUUACGCCCGGGAAGAAGGAAAUUUGAGUUAAAGAGCAGGGCAGCUCCAUAUGCCUUGUAACAAGCAAGCUAAUUGAAAAAUUUAAUUCAGGAAGAGAUGCAACGAGGCCAAAAUGAAAGAGGAACUAGGCCUGUCGAUGUUCAGAGCAGGAAAACCGAAGAAGUUAUCUCCAAGUUAAAAAUUAUGCGAGGCUGGAAAAUACAUCACCUGCUGUAUUUGUUAUAGAAAUUCACAGUCUUGUUUGCUGUUUAUCUUGAGGCUCGGGGAGCUCUCCUGCUGCUUAGGAAAAAAGAGGCGAGGUCUGGGAAGAAAUGCUAGUAAUAAGAAAGGGAGGGAUUAGAAACCCCAGAGAGAAUGGGAGGUGUAAAUAAUAUGUGGGCAUUUGACAAUCAGCACAAAGAAAUGGGAGACAAAGGCAAAUGGCUGAUGCCAGAAAUCCUAAACACUUAAGUGGGAAACUUGGACAAGAGAAAAAUGUCCCAAAGGAAAAGGAAAACAAAAUCCCAGGAGAUCUUUUUCCUCUGUGAUGUUGUCUAAUGGAGUAAAUAAAGAUUGGUUUUGCCACGUUGCUCCUGCGAGCAAUGCUAUAUGCAAAGGCACUGGCUUCCUGAUGGCCUUUGAAGCUCUCUCCAGGCCAGCCUGAGCCUUAGGACCAGAUGGAGGAAUCUUGGGGAACAGUUUUCUCCUCCAGAAAGGAGUUGAGAAUGGGCCAGAAGGAGCCCUUGGCAGGGACAGAGUGAUCCCUCUCUCCAAAGAGUCCAAUCUUUUGGGGUCCUCUGCUCUUCUCUUUUUUUCUCCCAGAACCCUACCUUGAAUGGAAUUGCUUAGGAAAGGAGAAAAGGCAUUUUUUAGCUAAAAGCUAAAGUAGGACCAAGUUAAACUUGCUGGACAAUGGAAAUUUCUUCCUGAGGCUGUCUGCUGAGGUCGAGCGUGACACUUCCUAAUUGCAUGACUUGGGCAGACUGCUUUCUCUACCGUAAGAAGAGGAUUAUAACAACAACAAUAAUAAUAGGUAACAUUUAUAGAACCCUUACAUGGAAUAAUUUCUACCCUGAUCCAUUUUAUCCUCUGAACCUAAUGAGUUAGGAUAGUUACGAUGUCCAUUCUACAGAUGAAUGGAGACUCAGCCAGAUCGCCAGCUAGAAAAUGGUACAGGCAAAAUAUAUUUCUAGGUCAGGGGUUGGCAAUUACAGUCCAAUGGCCAAGUCCGGCUCAACGCCUGUUUUUGUAAAUAAAGUUUUAUUGGAACACAGCCACGAUCAUUUGGUUAUAAUUGCCUCUGACUGCUUUGGAGCUAUGAUGAUAGAGACACUAUGGUCUGCACAGCCCAAAAUAUUUACUCUCCAUUUCUUUACAGAAAAAGUUGGCAGAUGCUUGCACUAAAUCCCCCAGGCCCAAGCUCUUAACCCCAUCUGUGUUCUUCUCCUCCAAAAAUGUCUCAUUUUUUUCUUUAAAUGUGAUGCUGAACAGGAAAAACUAAUCUAACAUGUCAGAAAUAAUAAUAGUGAUUGGAGAAUUUAAUUUGUUAGAGGCCCAAGAAUAUUAAAAACAAGCAAAAACAAACUUUUCUUUCUUUUCCUUUUUUUGUCUCAAAAUUAGAAACUGUUUACAUCCUAAAUUUAAGACAAACAAAAAAACCUUGCAUUGCCUUACCAGCUUUAUUGAAACUGCAUAUAAACGCUUAUCUAAAAACCAAAAUUUCUAGAGUCAUUUCCAAAAUAAUGAAGGAAUGGAAUACAGUUUUCCAGGUGACAUAACAUUUUUUUUCCGUAUGUUAUUUUCAAAACUGCAAGUAGAAUAAGUUGUUAAAGUAAGAAGCUCCCAGUUUUGAAUCUGAUGUUCACCCUAUAAUAGUAAUGUACAAACUCUCGGCGUUUGGAGCUUUGUUUAUAAAUGUAAAAUUUCUGUAACCAAAGGGGAAUGAAAACUAAGGACAGUUGGGGUUGCUAACUCAACAGUUAUUUUCUCUUCUUUCCUACAAAUGGAAGUUGGAGAUCUUGGAAACUGAUCCGUGUUGCCACGUGAACUGUUUCUGGUAUUGUAACACUGGUUUAGUUUGUCAUAGGUCUCCCGGAUUGAUGAGUGUAGCUACAUAUCCAGGUUUUAAAAAACGUUAGUGAACAAAAUUAAUAAUAGUAUCUUCUGUAUCUCGUAUCUGCCGGGCGCUGUGGGCUGGGAGUUCUGAAUACAUAGUGCUGAGGGCCGAUAACUCGACAAGCAGGGGGUUACUAUUUGUAUUUCUAGAUGAGAACAAUGAGAUCCAGGUGCAUAAGGUGUCCAGUUAAUACAUGACUGAUUGACCUCGAAAUCCUGAGCCCCGAUUCCAUACUCUUUCCCCUCUAAGAGGAGGUCUGUCACUGAUUGUUCUUCCUUUCAUUGACCCAAUUCUUACCUACUUUGUUGUCUACCAUGUCUCAGGCACUGCACUCAGCUCUGGGGAUUCAACAGCGAACAAAACAGAUAACUAAGUCAACAAGUUCAUGACCAGGAUAUUUUUGGAGGAUGAGGAGUGCCAAGAGGGAAAUUAAACAGGAUAGAUGGGAUGGCAAGUGUCUAAGUCCGGCGUAGCAAUAUAGGAUGGGGAGGCCAAGGAAAAGACUUGAAUGAGGAAUAAAAGCCACAAGAGAAAGAUCUAGAUAAUAGAAGAAAGUUCCAGACAGAGGAAACAGCAAAGCACAUUCCUUGAGAUGGAAAGAUCUUGGUAUGUUGAGAAGUUAUGUUGAUACUUUCUGGCUCUCGCCAAUUCAGCAGCCAUUAAGACUUGUCUAAGCUUGAAGGUCCUAGGUGCUGUCUUCUAAGGGCUGAGCGUUUACCCUCAGUUCUAAGACAUUUGGCUCCGAUUUCCUAACACUGCUAUCUCCUUCUCCUUAUCAGAGGGGAGCAAGCUGUUCCUCAUUUAUUUGUGACUGGAAACAAGAAGUUACCAAUGACUGAGUACACGCCUUGCACUGUACUAACUGCUUAAUUGCAUUAUCUCAUUGAAUCUGCAAAACCACCCCACUGAAUUACGGUAGAACACUCUUAAUCCAGGUCGAUGCUGUGCUGAGAGUUUUAAGGAAAUUAAUUUCUAGAAUUUACAUGUUUAUACUUACAUUUACUUAUUCCUAAAACUGCCUUGGAAUGCUCCUGUAGGCCUAAACUCAACUGGAACAACCCUUUUCUGCCAUUACAGAGAAGUCUGUGGAGGGUGAAUAUGUGUUUCCUUGUGCUGUGGCAGCCAUUUUGUGGCUAUGAGAGGCAAACCUGAAGUUCAAAGUCAAUACACUGAGGUGGGCAGAACAAGAUCAAAAGAACCUAGGACUAGAACAAUGGAGUUAACUAACCCUGGAACUGCCCUAUCAAGGAGGACAUUUAUGCCAUUUUUAGAUGGGUUCUCUGUUUCCUGAAGCUCUAAGCUCCUAUUUUACAAAAUAAGGAAACUGGAGCACAGAGAGGUUAAGCUAUCCGUCUACAGUCACACAGCUGGUAAGUUGCAAAGCCAGGGUUUGAAUGUGUCUGAUUCCAACUUCUGUGCUUUCAAUGACUAUGAUACAGAAUAGGGUUGGCAAACUAUGGCUUGUGGACCAAACCCCACCCACCACCCGUUUUUGUAAAUAAGGUUUUACUGGAACACAGCCAGACCCGGUUUGCGUAGGCAUCAUCUGUGGCUGCUCUUGCACUACAACAGAGUUUAGUGUUGUAAGAGACACUGUGAGUAGAAGGCCUGAAAUAGUUACUGUGUGGCUCUUUACGGAAAAAGUUUGCCGACCUCUGCUGGUCUAAGCCAAUCGUGGUAAUCCUAUCUUUCUUUAUCUGUGAUUGUCCGCUGGUGACAAUAUAAAUGGGUUUUGGCCAAUGAGAUUUAGGCAGAGUUCUGCUGAGGAGAUGCUUCUGAGAAAGGCAUUUCCCCUUUCAAAAGAGGUAGGAAGGAAGGUGGCCACCUCCCUUCUUCCCGCCUCUGGAGCAGGAAAGAUGAUGAGAGCUGAGCAGCCAUCUUAAAACCACAAGAGGGAGGAUCAAUAAUGGUAGAUGGCGGAGAGGAGCAUGCAGAGGCUCAGGGUUCACGACGCCGUUACCGCUCCCAUCCAGGGCUCUGACUCCCCACCUCCAGACUUCGUGUUGUGUUAGAUGAUAAAUAGUUUAAGUCACUUUUACAGCCUAUUCCAUUACCAGCAGCUGAGCUUAUCCUGUAUGGUCCAAACCCUAGGUCUGGAAUCACCAUCCUUAUUUUGCACUUAAGGAACCCCGAAUUCGGGGAGAUACAAGGACUCAUCUGAGGCGGUGUGCAGUGACGACCCCUGUUCCAUUACCCCUUGAUAGUAACAAACGAACUCAGCACUUGGGGCUUUGUUAUAUAUGCAAACAUUCUGUCACCAAAGGAGAAUGAACACGAAGGGCACUGCGGUUCCUAGCCAACAGUCAUUUCCUCUUUUUCCUACUAACAGAACCCGCCUUUCAUUGGGGCAGCAGCGCACCCGGCUCCAAGGGAGGAAGGAUAUUUGUUCUCAGCCAAUCACGGAAUUCUUUUAUCUCUUUGGGGGAAGUUUGACCUCUAGAUUUCUGAUUCCAGGGGGCGUCUGGGGUGGGGUGCGGCAGUCUGCGGGUGAUGCAGGUGCCUCCGCUCCGUAAAGCACACUUUGACUAACGCUAUUCUAUACCAAAGGUCAUAAACCCUCUCUGUAAAUGGCCAGAUAGUAAAUAUUUUAGGUUUUAUAGUCCAUAUAGUGUCUGUUGCACUAUUGAACUUUGCUGUAGCAGUGGCUCAGAAGCAGCCCCAGAGACACACAAAUUAGUGGGCAUGGCUGUGUUCCAAUAAAGCUUUAUUUACAAAAGCAGAUGGUGGGCCAUAUUUCACCUGUGGGCCAUAGUUUGCUGACCCCUUGCUUGACUAGUCCUGGUUCGUCUCCUGGUCCUGGGCCCAUCUUCUCCGAAUACAUUGCUGACUAAAAGCCAAACCAAUAGGGUUCUCUUGGGAAGGAAGACAUGGGUGAUGGCUUUUGGGUACGAGGUAAACUGUUGUGAUCUAAGCCAAUUUGGAGUGGAACAAUUCUUCGGUUAUUUUUGGCAGAGGUGAGAGUUAGCUGGCCCCUCACCGCUUACCUACAGGUCAUCAUAAAAAUCUAGUCUCUGUCCAAAUUCUGCUACUCUGAUAGCCAAACACUCAUUAGCAAAGCAAGCACGAGACAGUUCACGUUAACAGAUAAGAGGUUUGUUACUGUUAUUAAAUAAAUUAACAAACAAACAAACAUUUCAAAAAUUUCUCAUUUAAUUUCAAACAGGUAAGUAUAGAUAGAUCUAACUCUCAUAAAUAAAAGAUCUUUGGGGUCAUUGCAAAUUUUGAAGAGUGUACAAGGGUCCUGAGACCAAAACACUCAAGAACUGCUGACUUAGGUCAAUGUCAUACCUCCCUGCCUGGAGGUUUCACAGGAGGGAGACUAUUUCCUGUGAUUUCCUACAAAGCAAGAAAACAAUCGUGGUUAAGAAGGCAGGCUUGGGAUUCUGAAGGCUCGAGUUUAAAACUUUAUUCUAGAACUUGCAAAGUGGAUGAUAUGGGACCAGUCACUUAAAUCUUGGAGCUUCAGUUUCCUCAUCUGCAGAAUGGGGAUAAUGAGACCCACCUUUUCGGGGAGUCAUAAAGAUUAAAGUGGUGCUCGCUGAUCGUGAUCGAUGUACAGGCUUGUUUUGUGGAGGAGAGAAGUGGACCAGAGAGCACCUCUCAGGGGUCAGGAGUGGGCCUGAGACUCUGCAUUUCUCACAGGCCCCCAGGGCAUGCUGAUGCUGCUGGUUCCCCCACCACUCGGGAGACACCCUGGUCCCAAGCACAUCCCUUCAGAAGAACCCUGCAGUUCUCCUCAUCCAUUUUCAAAGUCCGGAUACUGAAACAUCAGCUUCUUUCUUUUCCGUUUUCGUUGCUUUUGUUGCAUUUUGACUCACUGUUUUUCCUAAUCUGGGUUACUCUGUCCUAACUGGUUUCCCCACCUUCGCUCUUCAUUUAGUGGAGAUGAACUGAGCACCUGCUACGUGCUGGGCCCUGUUCUGAGCCUUGGCCCUCAAGGUUCUGGGACCACCUUGAGCUUUCUCUAAAGUGUAAUCUGCUUCAACCCCUCAGGAGCUUCCCAGUGCUGUCAGGAUCAAGUCCAAGCUUGGGUGUUUCAGCACGGCUAAAAUCCCCCGCCGGACCUGGCCCCCUGGAGGCUCACCAGGAGCAACGGUCCCUCUUCUGUGGGCGUGGUUUCGAGGCUCAGAUGAAGUAACGCCUGUCACGCUGUUCCUUGGUCCUUGACAUGGAGGAGGGGAUCAACACGUGGGAGCUCUGUCGCUAAGACCUGGGAUCUGCUGGGAAUCAGGGAGGCCAACUAACUCAGCUACCCAGUGGUUCUCAACCGGGGAUGGGGGAGGAUUUUGCCCCCAGGCGCACUGGCAAUAUCUGGAGACGUUUUUGGUUGUCACAAUGUGGGGAGAGUGCUACUGGCAUCUAGUGGGUGGAGGUCAGGGAUGCUGCUAAAUACCCUGCAAUGCACAGGUCAGCCUCCUCCAUCCCCACCCCACCCCCACCCUCCCAUGACAGAGAAUUAUCUGGACCAAAACGUCACUAGGGCUGAGGUCAAGAAACACUGGAUGAGGCCACCCGGAAGAAGCUUCCCUCUUCUAUGCUCCAGAUCAAAUCCAUCGCCACUUCAGUUUCUCUGCAUGCCACUGUCUCUUGCUUGAGUGUACUAAAGUGGCCUAGUCUUUUCUCCAGGAGCACGCUUCCUACAGAUCUUCAACGGCUGGUUCCUCGUUCAAACGUCCCUCCCCAGGAAGCCUUCUCUGACCACCCACUGCAAGGCUGCUCCCGCCCUCCCUGGUUCUCCUCCUGUAGGCAGCCUAUUCGUUUCCUUCUAAUAUCUAUCACCAUCAGAUGGGACAUUUAUUUUCUUAGUUGAUCAGUUGAUUGUCUCCUGCACUCGAAUGUGAGCACCAUGAAGAGGAAGAGUCAGGUCUGUCUUGAUCAGGGGUUUGUAAACUACCACCUGUGGGCCAGAUUUGGCCCUUUGCCUCUUUUUGUAAAUAAAGCUUUAUUGGAACAAGCUAUGCCCGUUCUCUCAUGUAUUGUUGCUUGUGGUUGCUUUUGCUCUCCAACAGCAAACUUGAGUAGUUGUGAUAGACACUGAGCAGCCCGCAAAGCCAAGAUAGUCACCCUUUUCAGAAAAUGUGUGCCAACCCUGGUUGUGGUUAUUUGUCUAGUGCAGUGCCUGGCACAUAGUGGGCACUCAGCAAAUACUGAUCGAGUGUUUACUCAGUACCCUUAAUCCCACCUAAUCCUGCUUAGCACUCCAUGAGGUAGAUUCUAAUAAGGGUCCACAAACCUGAAACUUCCGAAGCCAUACUUUUAAAAACCAAAUUUGGCAGCAAAACCUGAUCUGAUCUGACCUGUUUGGCUGCAGAAUAUGCCUUGAACAAAUGCGAGGCUGUCGAUUGCCUAUAUUUCUCUCACUAAUUUGACCUUUGUGUGUUUCUCUGCAGACGUGUCGAUGAGGCAGAUUGAGGUGCUGCCCCAGGCCUCGCAGGCAAUGCUGUGUCCCAUACGGUAUAAGCAUCGCAUCACAUUUCUAAAAUCUCAAAAUUCUGAAUUCCAAAGCAUAUUCCACUAUAAGGGUUUGGACAAGAGAUUUGGAUGUGUAGUUUUCUUUAUUUUAAAGCUGAGGAAUGGAGAGACCAAACCAAAUAACAAUGCUUGUGAAUGGCAGGACCCAGAUUUGAAUCUCGGAUCUGAUCCCUGAGUUGUGGCUGUACCCGCUAGGCUCUCUCAGGAGAGGCGGGCUGGUGCUUGUUCACUGGAUGAAUUAAGGGGUUGACGAAGCUGGCUGGGCCUUGUUCUCACCCCUGGGCUGGUUUGCCCGCUACUCGGGAGGUUCCUGCCUUUCCUCUGUCAGAACAUCUUUCCAGGCCAAGUAUUGCAGCUGUAAAUGUGCAUGCAAAACACACAUGCACGCACACACACACUCACACACAUGUGCACACACACGUACAACUCAAAAAAGGAGCUACAUACUAUUAUAGUUUCUGCAGAUUUGUGGUCACUGUUGUUCUGAGCAAUCUCAUCUUUAUGAAUCAGGUGACAAAACCCACUAGUAACCAGGCAGGGGAAAGAAAACAGAUGCUUUUCCAGUCAGGCAGGAUGGAGCUGAGCAGUUGUCACUGUGGUUAAACCUCUGCCUCCAGGAAGACACAGCCCCUUGUAAAAAAUUAUUGCUGUUCUCUCUCUGGUUUUGGGAGCUGCC
rnacentral:lncRNA from 1 species